rnacentral:rRNA from 1 species
UACGUAGGGAGCAAGCGUUGUCCGGAAUCAUUGGGCGUAAAGCGCGCGUAGGUGGCCUCAUAAGUCCGCUGUGAAAGUCAAAGGCUCAACCUUUGAAAGCCGGUGGAUACUGUGAGGCUAGAGUACGGAAGAGGCGAGUGGAAUUCCUGGUGUAGCGGUGGAAUGCGCAGAUAUCAGGAGGAACACCAAUAGCGAAGGCAGCUCGCUGGGACGUUUACUGACACUGAGGCGCGAAAGCGUGGGGAGCGAACAGG